rnacentral:rRNA from 1 species
GCCCAGACUCCUACGGGAGGCAGCAGUGGGGGAUAUUGCACAAUGGGGGGAACCCUGAUGCAGCGACGCCGCGUGGGUGAAGGAGCGUUUCGGCGCGUAAAGCCCUAUCGGCAGGGAAGAAGGAGGACGGUACCUGACUAAGAAGCCCCGGCUAACUACGUGCCAGCAGCCGCGGGAAUACGUAGGGGGCGAGCGUUAUCCGGAUUCACUGGGCGUAAAGGGAGCGCAGGCGGCACGGCAAGUCCGGUGUGAAAGCCCGGGGCCCAACCCCGGGACUGCACUGGAAACUGCCGGGCUGGAGUGUCGGAGGGGCAGGCGGAAUUCCUAGUGUAGCGGUGAAAUGCGUAGAUAUUAGGAGGAACACCGGUGGCGAAGGCGGCCUGCUGGACGACGACUGACGCUGAGGCUCGAAAGCGUGGGGAGCAAACAGGAUUAGAUACCCUCGUAA